AUUGAACGCUGGCGGCAUGCUUUACACAUGCAAGUCGAACGGUAACGGGUUAAGCUGACGAGUGGCGAACGGGUGAGUAAUGCAUCGGAACGUGCCCAGUCGUGGGGGAUAACGCAGCGAAAGCUGCGCUAAUACCGCAUACGAUCUAAGGAUGAAAGCGGGGGACCGUAAGGCCUCGCGCGAUCGGAGCGGCCGAUGUCAGAUUAGGUAGUUGGUGGGGUAAAGGCUCACCAAGCCAACGAUCUGUAGCUGGUCUGAGAGGACGACCAGCCACACUGGGACUGAGACACGGCCCAGACUCCUACGGGAGGCAGCAGUGGGGAAUUUUGGACAAUGGGCGAAAGCCUGAUCCAGCAAUGCCGCGUGCAGGAAGAAGGCCUUCGGGUUGUAAACUGCUUUUGUACGGAGCGAAAAGGUCUCCUCUAAUACAGGGGGCUCAUGACGGUACCGUAAGAAUAAGCACCGGCUAACUACGUGCCAGCCGCCGCCGUAA
rnacentral:rRNA from 1 species